rnacentral:rRNA from 1 species
CGAACGGGUGAAUAACGCGUGAGGAACCUGCCUCAAAGAGGGGGACAACAGUUGGAAACGACUGCUAAUACCGCAUAAGCCCACGGCUCGGCAUCGAGCAGAGGGAAAAGGAGCAAUCCGCUUUGAGAUGGCCUCGCGUCCGAUUAGCUAGUUGGUGAGGUAAUGGCCCACCAAGGCGACGAUCGGUAGCCGGACUGAGAGGUUGAACGGCCACAUUGGGACUGAGACACGGCCCAGACUCCUACGGGAGGCAGCAUG